rnacentral:rRNA from 1 species
UAGGGAAUCUUCGGCAAUGGGGGCAACCCUGACCGAGCAACGGCCGCGUGAGUGAAGAAGGUUUUCGGAUCGUAAAGCUCUGUUAGUAAGAGAAGAACACGAGUGAGAGUAACUGUUCAUUCGAUGACGGUAUCUAACCAGCAAGUCACGGCUAACUACGUGUCAG